UACUGAAGCAGGGGGUUGUUGUUAGUCUUGACAAGGAUAUAAUAUAACCCUUGUAAUGGACUUGAAACUGACAUACGACUCUUUACUAGACAAGUGGACUAUGCAGCACAAUGUAUAUUGCUGCAGAUCUUGUAGCAACUACUCAAGGAAGCCUUUUGAGGCUAAUUUUCCACCAAGAUGGUCCUGUUUGAGAGAACAGCGAGUGAGUCAUCGGAUGACAUAGAUAUCCGUCCACUGGAGUUGGAAGAUCUGAGGAGGCGGCUGGAUGAGAGACCAGUGGAAGGACCGAUGACAGUGCAUAAACGGUACUGAGUAUCUUCUUUGUUAAGUUUUGUUGAAGUUUUAAUUUUUGUUUGAUGUCUUGAUUAUGGGGUGGCUGGUGCUGUGACCAUGUAGACAAUAAUGAUAUAAGAUAUUGCUAAGAGUAUGCAAAACAAAGUGGACAAAUAUCCACCAUAAUGUUUAUUGUUAUAGAACAAAUAUUUGUUAAAAUUCAGUUGAAUGGUUUACAAUUCCCCCAAAGAAUUGGAAAUGGAAACUAGAGAAAUUUUCUAUUGGUCCUGAUCAGUAUAUAGCCACAAGAUACUUAAGACUUGAUAAUGGUCUAGGACAGACUAAAACAUUCUUUAAAAUCCACUUCCAAACUGUAAGUUCAUUGUGAUUGUUUAUCCUUCAUAGAAUAGGUUGACUUGUAACGUUUUUUUUUAUUGUUUUCACCACUUACAUAAGGUAGAUUAAAAGUGUUAUAUAACAGAUUGAUUUUUCAUAAUACAGUAAUGUAGUAGGCCAUUUGAUCUUGUAACCAGUGGAAAUACUACUGGUUUGAAUUAAGAUGGCUUUCCUUUCUGACAGUGAUGAUUCUUUUCAUUGAUAACACUUGCAUGUUCUGAAAUGCUGUAUGAACCCAGUAGUCUUUUCUAUGAACAUAAUAAUCAACCCAGUGGCUUGCAAAAUUGUAAUGACACAAUUGUAAGUUUUAGAACUGGCUUGCCUUGUGUUCGAGUCAUCCAAGUGGUGAGAUGAUCAACUACGUACAUCAUUAAAUGUAUUUUUAAGAAAUGGGAGAGAAUAACAAAGUUCAGAUAACUGUCAGAUUUAACCUUUUCAAUGUCAGUCAUGUAAAUCUACAUCAGUGGUAUCAAUCAUUCACGUAGAUUUACACAAUUCACAGUUCUGUCUAAUGCAGCAACUUUUCUGCCUAGACAUGAGAGACUGGAUCUGUGUGGUAGGUGUGAGCAAUGUAAAAAAUCCUGCCUUGUGCAGUACGUGAUUGGAACAGCUAACCUAUGACCCUGCGUUUAUGUUAACGUAGUGAAUUUGGCAUUUUUAGGGUGGUUUUUGUGGUAUUAUUGGCUGUUUCUUAGUGUCAAUAGAAAGAACAAGAGCAUGUAGUGGAGAAGAUUUUGGUCAGUUUCAGACAGAAAGUGGCCAAAAAUAGGCUUCAGAAUGGCAGAAAUGGUAAAUUUUUGGUGAUAUUCAUUGGGAAGAGUAAUCUUCCCAUACUGUUUUAUGGAAUUUUACAAAAUUUGUUUCAAUUAUUUGAUGGCCUGACCCAUGAGCAUGCACUUUCGGUUAUGGUUUAUAAGCUGAGAAACAGGAAAAAAAUGUCAACUUUUUGUGGAUUGGAUUGGAUGAUGGAUUUGAAAUAGAGUGGAACCUUGGUUUUCGUCACUAAUUCAUUCCAGAAAGUCUGAUGAAAACUGAAUUCGACGAAAACUGAAGCAAUAUUUCCUAUAAGAAAUAAUGUAAAUCCAAUUAAUCUGUUCCAGACACCCAAAAGUAUUAGCAAAAAAAUAUAGAUUUUUUUUUUUUUUUUUUAGAUUUAGAUUUUUUUAUUUAGACAAAUUACAUGGUUGUACAGAGGAAUAUAAUAGUUGGGUGUACAUGCCAAAAGCCCCUCUGUAUGCUGAGCAUUUCGGGCAAACUUAAAGAUUAAGUUAAGAAUAGUAAGGCAAUAAUAUAUACAGUGGACCCCAGGUUAUCGUCGGGUUCUGUUAUUGGCCAGCUUGGUUAUCAGCCAAUUUUUCAGCACCUGGUUAUUGGCUGUUUGGGACGUGUCCAUCCACCGGCUGGGGCCGCUUGCGCGUCAGUUUGGCUUUGUCUCUCGGUGGCUGAGGAAGCUUCUGCUCAUACAUCCAAACAUUUUUGCUUGUUUUCCAUUGUUUUUAGUGUUUUUUUUUUUUUGCAGUGCAACUGUGAAAUAAGUAACCAUGCUCCAAAGAAAGUUCCUGUGGUAAAGAAAGUGAGAAACACCAUGGAAUUUAAACGUGAAGUGAUAGAAAAGUUUGAGAGUGGUAUGAAGGUGGUGGAACUUGCCAGGAUGUACAGCAAGAAUAAAUAAAUCAAUUACAUCCAUCCUGGCAAAGAAAGAACAAAUUAAAGAUGCUAAUGUUGCAAAAGGAGUAACUUUUCUAACUAAACAAAGGCCACCAAUAAUGGAAGAGAUGGAAAAGUUAUUAUUAUUAUGGAUUAAGGAAAAAGAAUUAGUGGGAGACAGUGUUGUGGAGUCAAUUAUUUAUGAGAAGGCAAGGCAGUUGCAUGAGGAUCUUGCAAAGAAAAUGCCUGGAACAUGUGCUGCAGUUUGUGAAUUUAUUGCCAGCAAAGGAUGGUUUGAUAGAUUUAAGAAGCAUAGUGGCAUACACAGUGUUGUAAGGCAUGGUGAGGCAGCAAGUUCUGACAAAUGUGUGGCUGAAAAAUCCAUGCAGGAAUUCCAGGGGUACAUAGAGGCUGAAGGAUUCAAACCCCAACAAGUGUUCAAUUGUGACAACACAGGCCUGUUUUGGAAGAAAAUGCCAAACAGGACCUACAUUACCCAGGAGGAAAAGGCACUACCAGGACACAAGCCUAUGAAAGACAGGCUUACUCUUUUAUUGUGUGGUAAUGCUAGUGGGGAUUUCAAAGUGAAGCCUUUACCUGUGUAUGACUCAGGAAAUCCCAGAGUGUUCAAGGAAAACAAUGUCAUGAAGAAUAGAUUGUGUGUGAUGUGGAAAGCUAAUCAUAAGGCAUGGGUCACAAGGCAAAUUUUCAAAAAGUGGGUUAAUGAUGUGUUUGGCCCAAGUGUGAAAAAAUACCUCCUGGAAAAGAAAUUGCCACUCAAGUGCCUCCUGGUACUGGACAGUGCUCCUGCACAUCCUCCAGACUUGGAAGACCAAGUGUUUAGGGACUUCAGUUUUAUAAAAGUGAAAUUCUUGCCUCCUAACACCACUCUUCUCCUCCAGCCGAUGGACCAGCAGAUCAUUUCUUACUUCAAAAAACUCUACACAAAAGCAGCAUUUCAAAAGUGCUUUUAAGUGACCUCGGACACUCAGUUGACCCUAAGAGAGUUCUGGAGGAAUCACUUCACUAUCCUCCAUUGCAUAAGCCUUAUAGGUAAGGCUUGGGGGGGGAGUGACUUCCAGGACUUUGAACUCUUCUUGGAGAAAACUGUGGCCAGAUUCUGUCCAAGAGAGAGAUUUUGAAGGGUUUGAGGCUGACCCUGACGACCCUGUGGACUCUAUUGUGGCACUCGGGAAGUCCCUGGGAUUGGAGGUGAGUGGCGAGGAUGUGGAAGAGUUGGUGGAGGACCACAAGGAAGAUCUAACUACUGAAGAGCUGCAAGAGCUUCAACUUGAACAGCAACAGACUGCAGCUGAGGAACUUGCUUCAGAGGAGGAGGAAGAGGGAGUGAAGGAGGUGCCUGCUUCAGAGAUUAAAGAGGUGUGUGCAAUGUGGACUAGGUUGCAAGCGUUUGUAGAGAAACACCACCCUGACAAAGCUGAAACAAGCCAUAUCUGCACCAUGUUUAGUGACAAAACCCUGUCCCACUUCAGGGAAAUCUUAAAGAGACGCCAGAAACAGAGCACUCUGGACAGUUAUUUUGUGAGACAGGGGUCCAGUGACUCUCAAGCUGGUCCUAGUGGCAUCAGAAGACAAAGAAAGGAAGUAACCCCAGAGAAGGCUUUGCUACCUUAAGUCUUUAUGGAGGGGGAUUCUCCUUCCAAACACUAACUCCUCCCUCUUUCUUCUUCCCUAUCUUCCAGAAGCCAGCAUUAGCCUUCAAUAAAGGUAUGUAAUACUUACAUAAUUGUUAAAAAAAUUAUUUUUUUGUGAAUAUUUUUGCCUGGAACGGAUUAAUUGUAUCUCCAUUAAUUCUUAUGGGAAAUAUUAAUUCAGUUUUCGGCCGACCUUCUGGAAUGGAUUACAGCCGAUAACUAGGGGUCCACUGUAGUUCAUAUGGUCAUUAGAUAUAAAAGACUAAUGAAAUGGAUAAAUGAACAUUUAACAUCACUUUUAC